ACAGCCACAUCACAUUGAAAUCCUGGGUCCUUUCUGAUCACUGAAGUUAAGCAAUGUCAAACUUGGUCAAUACCUAGAUGGGUGACCACUUGGGAAUACCAGAUGCUGUAAG